rnacentral:lncRNA from 1 species
GACAGGCUCAAGCGAGUUGUAAAUUUGUUUCGGAUUACCAAGAAGUAAAAUACAGAUUUACAUACUUAGGAGAUAUUCUGCUAUUUAUUGUGCUUUAUAGCACUAUUUUUAUUGUAAUUUCCGAUAAAACAAAUUAAAACGUCUAGAAAAUAAUCAUCAUUUAAACCAAGUCACGACUCACGAGUGACUGCUCGUGUAAUAAUUGUUUUGUAACAAUAUAUUAUAAUGUCAUGUUUCAAUAUACUUUAUAUUAUAUUGUAUUUUAUGUACAUAUAAUAUUAUGUAAUAUCACAUAUACGAAGAUUCAGGGGUGGGAUAACAUUAUUGAUGUUUAUUGAAUUGGUGCAAAAAUAGAAACACUAUUGAUUUUUGCUCACAAAAGUAUUUUUUAAUAUUUUUACGCAAAUAUAAUUGGGAAGAGUUGUGUCUCUAGUCACCUCCCACACCACGUGAUUGUGAGGCCACCAUCGCGAUCGUCUACACUCCAAGCGUUUGAAAUAAUUCAAUUCUGAAAUACCUAGUAGUUUAACGAAAUUAUCAACAACUUCGUGCUAUAUGCUAUAAGUGUUCGUGGUCGCUUAAUGUAUAUUAUUGAAUUUAGACUACACAAGCGUGUAUUUCGUUUCUAGGAUUAAUGUACAAGUAGUUAAAAACACGUGUUUUUCAAAUGCAAAAUAAUAAUAUUUAAAUAUACUUAUAACCACUGUCAUUUCAUUUUCUUUACAAUCAGUUCCAAUUUAUAUUUUAUUCGUCAAUUUUAGUAAAUAUAUUGCAAUAUAUUGUUAAGACAUAGUACCCUCCUUCUAACAUCGUAUCGUAUCAUAUAAUUUAUUUUAGGCAUGUAUAUUGUAUGUAAUACUUUUUGUACAAAAUAAUUAUUUGAUUAUUGUGUUAUUUAUACCUACUACUAUAGGGAUCUACUUUUGUCUAGCGUAUCUAAGUAAUACGAUAUCCUAAAAAAUUUUAAAUAUGUCUACGUCUAUGUGGCGUGUUGCCUUUAGGCUUUUGCGGACAGUCGGUGCCACUAAUUUGAGGUCAGAAAUCGAGAUGCCUUAACGCCGCGACUUUAAUGACUGAUGUCGUUGCGACUGCGCGGAUUUCUGCCGUUGUGUCUUCGAGAUCAGCUAACGAGCCGCCUACACGGAUUGUUUGCCGUCGCUGUUUCGUGAUAUGUUGCCGUUACUUCUCUGCGAUGAGUUAUCGAGUCGCCUUCGUGGAAAAUUGCCACAUCGAAAUCAUGAUUAAUACUAGCUUAGGUGUGCCUCGAUUCCAGGCUUGUGGAAGCCGCCUUUGGCGCCUUCAAGGGAGUCGAGUGAAAAUCGUUUCAAGGGAAAUUCGGUUGGAAAUGGUAGUCGGGUGUCUAGAAAUCAGUCACUAAAAAAUAUGCUAAAGGCGAAA